rnacentral:misc_RNA from 1 species
UCCGAGUUGACCCCGGCAGUCUCCUAUGAGUCCCCGGCUUGAACCGCUGGCAACAUAGGACAAGGGUUGCGCUCGUUGCGGGACUUAACCCAACAUCUCACGACACGAGCUGACGACAGCCAUGCAGCACCUGUCUCGCGAUUCCCGAAGGCACCCGGACAUUUCUGCCCAGUUCCGCGGAUGUCAAGGCCAGGUAAGGUUCUUCGCGUUGCAUCGAAUUGAACCACAUGCUCCACCGCUUGUGCGGGCCCCCGUCAAUUCCUUUGAGUUUCAGCCUUGCGGCCGUACUCCCCAGGCGGGGCACUUCCUGCGUUAGCGCCGGCACCCAAGGGGUCGCUCCCCCAGGCACCUAGUACCCAUCGUUUACGGCGUGGACUAC